GAGCCGGCCGCGGCCGUGUCUGUGGUGUCCGCGGCGGCGGCGAGAGCGAGCGUCCCAUCCUUCCCACCCUCUCAGCUCCGCUCGUUGCACGCCCUCCGCUCGCGCCGAUUUCUCCGCAGCUCGGCGCGUCCCGGCUGGACGUUGAGCCUCGGGAGGAGACGCGCGCGGUGAGAGCCGGAGAGGGGACAGCCGCGGAGCCGGGGCCGGGAGGAGAGCGAGGAGUGAUCGAAGGGAAUGGAAUUGAAUUAAAUUGAAUUGAAUUGAAUUUCAUCUAUCUGUGGGAGUUGUAAACAAGGUUGCCAUCACGAAAGCCAAGGUGGAUUUCUCCAGUGUAGUGUGCCUGCCCCCUUCCGUCAUUGCUGUGAAUGGGCUGGACGGAGGAGGGGCUGGCGAAAAUGAUGAUGAACCAGUGCUGGUGUCCCUGUCCGCGGCA